UUCGUGGAUUGUAAACCUCUUUUUUCAGGGAAGAUAAUGACGGUACCUGAAGAAUAAGCAUCGGCUAACUCCGUGCCAGCAGCCGCGGUAAGACGGAGGAUGCAAGCGUUAUCCGGAAUUAUUGGGCGUAAAGCGUACGCAGGUGGCAUAUCAAGUCCUUUGUUAAAGCGCGAGGCUCAACCUCGUAAAGGCAGAGGAAACUGGUAAGCUAGAGUAUGGUAGGGGCAGGAGGAAUUCCCAGUGUAGCGGUGAAAUGCGUAGAUAUUGGGAAGAACACCAGCGGCGAAAGCGUCCUGCCAAGCCAAAACUGACACUCAUGUACGAAAGCUAGGGGAGCGAAUGGGAUUAGAUACCCC
rnacentral:rRNA from 1 species